GGGAGGCAGCAGUGGGGAAUAUUGCACAAUGGGCGAAAGCCUGAUGCAGCGACGCCGCGUGAGGGAUGACGGCCUUCGGGUUGUAAACCUCUUUCAGCAGGGACGAAGCGAAAGUGACGGUACCUGCAGAAGAAGCACCGGCUAACUACGUGCCAGCAGCCGCGGUAAUACGUAGGGUGCAAGCGUUGUCCGGAAUUACUGGGCGUAAAGAGUUCGUAGGCGGUUUGUCGCGUCGUUUGUGAAAACUCACAGCUCAACUGUGAGCCUGCAGGCGAUACGGGCAGACUUGAGUACUGCAGGGGAGACUGGAAUUCCUGGUGUAGCGGUGAAAUGCGCAGAUAUCAGGAGGAACACCGGUGGCGAAGGCGGGUCUCUGGGCAGUAACUGACGCUGAGGAACGAAAGCGUGGGUAGCAAACAGGAUUAGAUACCCUGGUAGUCCACGCCGUAAACGGUGGGCGCUAGGUGUGGGUUCCUUCCACGGGAUCUGUGCCGUAGCUAACGCAUUAAGCGCCCCGCCUGGGGAGUACGGCCGCAAGGCUAAAACUCAAAGGAAUU
rnacentral:rRNA from 1 species